AUACGGAGGAUCCGAGCGUUAUCCGGAUUUAUUGGGUUUAAAGGGUGCGUAGGUGGUUUGAUAAGUCAGCGGUGAAAGUUUGCAGCUUAACUGUAAAAAUGCCGUUGAUACUGUAAGGCUAGGAUAUGGUUGCUGUGGGUGGAAUGUGUGGUGUAGCGGUGAAAUGCUUAGAGAUCACACAGAAUAUCGAUUGCGAAGGCAGCUCACAAAGCCAUUAUUGACGCUGAGGCACGAAAGUGUGGGGAUC
rnacentral:rRNA from 1 species